CUCCUACGGGAGGCAGCAGUGGGGAAUUUUGGACAAUGGGCGAAAGCCUGAUCCAGCAAUGCCGCGUGUGUGAAGAAGGCCUUCGGGUUGUAAAGCUACUUUUGUCCGGAAAGAAAUCCUUGGCUCUAAUACAGUCGGGGGAUGACGGUACCGGAAGAAUAAGCACCGGCUAACUACGUGCCAGCAGCCGCGGUAAU
rnacentral:rRNA from 1 species